rnacentral:rRNA from 1 species
GUGAGACAGGUGCUGCAUGGCUGUCGUCAGCUCGUGUUGUGAAAUGUUGGGUUAAGUCCCGCAACGAGCGCAACCCUUAUCCUUUGUUGCCAGCACGUAAUGGUGGGAACUCAAGGGAGACUGCCGGUGACAAACCGGAGGAAGGUGGGGAUGACGUCAAGUCAUCAUGGCCCUUACGAGUAGGGCUACACACGUGCUACAAUGGCAGAUACAAAGUGAAGCGAACUCGCGAGAGCAAGCGGACCACAUAAAGUCUGUCGUAGUCCGGAUUGGAGUCUGCAACUCGACUCCAUGAAGUCGGAAUCGCUAGUAAUCGUAGAUCAGAAUGCUACGGUGAAUACGUUCCCGGGCCUUGUACACACCGCCCGUCACACCAUGGGAGUGGGUUGCAAAAGAAGUAGGUAGCUUAACCUUCGGGAGGGCGCUUACCACUUUGUGAUUCAUGACUGGGGUGAAGUCGUAACAAGGUAACCGUAGGGGAACCUGCGGUUGGAUCACCUCCUUA